CGACUAUUGAACGGCGAAUAUUUUAAAGCAAAGGCUUUAAAACCAAGUUAACGCUGAAAGUACAAACAUCACUAAUGUCACAUAACUCUGGCAACAUUUGGCCAACAGUAGUGUUAUGAUGUUCUUCGUUAUUAAACAUCUGCACAUAAGUGACAUAAUAUUCAGUACUUACUUUUAAAAGUUUACUCUUCGGCCGCUCCGCUUCAGGCAUCCACCGUUUUUUGUUUUAUCAAAAAAAAAAAAAAAAGAUCCACACCCACCACGGCGUUAUUAAUUCUGGGAUAGUUUGGGCCGCGAAGGAUACACCUGACCCAUCCUUCAAAUUCGGGAAAAUGAAGGACACGUUUGUUGGCCACAUUUGGAGCAGCGUUCAUCGUGUUGUUGUGACGUAAUCGGCCUUCAAAUGCGGCCUCCGAAGGAUGCAGCCCCUGAAUUGGGACACAGCCAUUGUCAUCUGCUUCUUCAGGACCAGUAUAAGAGGACCAGCUGUGUCAUCCAGUCUCCGCCUCCUACUAGUGGUAACAGACAGUGGCAACUGCACUGCGUUUCCUGCUCUUACAUGUUUCUCGUUUCUAUCUGAAGAGUCUCAUGCCAUCAGUUCACACCGUCAAGAUAAGCAAGCUAGUUUGCAAAGUGAACCUACUUGGAUCACUUACCUGCAGCUUCCCACCUGACUGUUCACCCUCCAACAGAAGCACUCACCUGGAUGUCAACUUGCUCCCUGCUGCUUCCCUCUGGAAAGUUCCCUUGCGGACUCUCAAGUGGAACCCCUUCGCCCUCAAACCUGAAUGAUUCCCCUUCAAACCUGAAUGAUAACCCCACAAACCAACCCUCGCCCCUUCACCUGUUCCUAUUUGUGUAUAAGUGAAAAUUAAGUGCUGUCUCUUUUGGUUCUGCUUUAGGGUCCAUCCUAGUCGUUCAGCUGCACAGCUGUGACACAUACAUCAAUUUAUAUUCAAGCUGAUGCUAAUUAGAUUCACUCACUGAGUGCUACCUUUGAUACCUGCUUUAUAGUGUCUAGGGGCAGAAAAUCAGUUAUAUAAAUCGCCAAACAUACUUAUUUCUUAUGGUAUUCAGUUGACUAACUCCACAAAGAGCAGUGAAUAUUAGAGUAUCAGCACAGGCCAGCUGAUCACAAAGAAAAAUCUGUUGGAGCUCACAAAACAAGCUGUUGGAAAUAACUACGCCCGAUCUCAGAGUUCUCCCACCUGCAAAAUCCUUUCUUGAAUCCCUGUUUAAGAGUAAAACCAACAGUCAUGCUUUUUAACAAAUUUCUACGAUUUUUAAAAACCCAAAGUUUCUUAUUUUAGGUUUCAUUUCAUUUUAGGCCAGAACUAAAUCAUAUACUUAAGUGUUUGUUAAAAAAUUAGUUUCAAGUAAAGCCAUUAAAGCUGUACUACUAAUUACUGUUGUAUUUAUUUUAUUUUUUGUUAAUAUGUCCCAAUUAAAUGUUUCAGAUCAUCAGCAAUUACUUUUUGGCAGAGCCAAGUAGGUUUGGAUAGCUUUGCUUUCACAAGAAACCCACAUGUCUUCUGGACCUAAAUUUGUCAUGUUUGUUUCAACUGAGCAGAUUACGAUACAGUUGGUUUAGUGGAUACAACACCAGAGUGAAACUUUCAUCGAAAAAACUGUAGUAAAUAAAUUAAGUGGAUGUACUCAGGACCUCAGAGUGCUGCUGUGGUCCUGGGAAAUCACCAUAGCCCAGGGGUGGGCAACUCCAGGCCUCGAGGGCCGGUGUCCUGCAGGUUUUAGAUGUGUCCGUGAUCCAACACCGCUGAUUCAAAUGGCUCACAUACUCAAGCACAUCAACAGGAGGUGGAGCAUCUGCCUUCACUCAGCCCAACAAUAAGGAACCCUAACUGUGUGCCAAAACACCAAUUUGAGUAAAGGGCUCACGACAGUACAUGUGUAGCAUAAAUUUCAAGGUUUGGUGGACUCACUCUACUGCUCCUUGGCUCUCAGAGUGAAAAGCACCAGAAACUUUACGCUUUGCAGUGAUAACAUCAAGCCAGUAAAUCCACUCAAUAUAAUA